rnacentral:rRNA from 1 species
AUUGAACGCUGGCGGCAGGCCUAACACAUGCAAGUCGAGCGGAUGAAGAGAGCUUGCUCUCUGAUUCAGCGGCGGACGGGUGAGUAAUGCCUAGGAAUCUGCCUGGUAGUGGGGGACAACGUUUCGGAAGGAACGCUAAUACCGCAUACGUCCUACGGGAGAAAGCAAGGGACCUUCGGGCCUUGCGCUAUCAGAUGAGCCUAGGUCGGAUUAGCUAGUUGGUGAGGUAAUGGCUCACCAAGGCGACGAUCCGUAACUGGUCUGAGAGGAUGAUCAGUCACACUGGAACUGAGACACGGUCCAGACUCCUACGGGAGGCAGCAGUGGGGAAUAUUGGACAAUGGGCGAAAGCCUGAUCCAGCCAUGCCGCGUGUGUGAAGAAGGUCUUCGGAUUGUAAAGCACUUUAAGUUGGGAGGAAGGGCAGUAAGUUAAUACCUUGCUGUUUUGACGUUACCGACAGAAUAAGCACCGGCUAACUCUGUGCCAGCAGCCGCCGUAAGAC